rnacentral:rRNA from 1 species
ACAUGCAAGUCGAGCGCACCUUCGGGUGAGCGGCGGACGGGUGAGUAACGCGUGGGAACGUGCCCUUUGGUACGGGAUAACUGAGGGAAACUUCAGCUAAUACCGUAUGUGCCCUACGGGGGAAAGAUUUAUCGCCAUUGGAGCGGCCCGCGUUGGAUUAGGUAGUUGGUGAGGUAAAGGCUCACCAAGCCUACGAUCCAUAGCUGGUCUGAGAGGAUGAUCAGCCACACUGGGACUGAGACACGGCCCAGACUCCUACGGGAGGCAGCAGUAGGGAAUCUUGCGCAAUGGGCGAAAGCCUGACGCAGCCAUGCCGCGUGAAUGAUGAAGGUCUUAGGAUUGUAAAAUUCUUUCACCGGGGAAGAUAAUGACGGUACCCGGAGAAGAAGCCCCGGCUAACUUCGUGCCAGCAGCCGCGGUAAUACGAAGGGGGCUAGCGUUGCUCGGAAUUACUGGGCGUAAAGGGCGCGUAGGCGGACAGUUUAGUCAGAGGUGAAAGCCCAGGGCUCAACCUUGGAAUUGCCUUUGAUACUGGCUGUCUUGAGUUCGGGAGAGGUGAGUGGAAUGCCGAGUGUAGAGGUGAAAUUCGUAGAUAUUCGGCGGAACACCAGUGGC